rnacentral:rRNA from 1 species
GCAGCCUGUAUGGGGCAUUGAAUAGAUUAGCAUGGGAUAAUAGAAUAGGAUUCUUAUCUAUUUAUUGGUUUAUAGAUUUAGAAUAAUGAUUAAUAGGGAUAGUUGGGGGCACUUGUAUUCAAUAGUCAGAGGUGAAAUUCUAGGAUUUAUUGAAGACAAACUUCAGCGAAAGCAUUUGCCAAGGAUGUUUUCAUUAAUCAAGAACGAAAGUUAGGGGAUCGAAGACGAUUAGACACCGUCGUAGUCUUAACUAUAAACUAUGCCGACCAGGGAUAUGAGAGUUUUAUAUUUAUGUUAUGAAUAGUAACAUAAUCUCUUGUGGACCUUGUGAGAAAUCAUAAGUUUUUGGGUUCUGGGGGGGAGUAUGGUCGCAAGGCUGAAACUUAAAGGAAUUGACGGAGGGGGC